GCGUGUAGCGUAGUGGUUAAUGCGCCUGCCUCGUAAGCAAGCGGUCCUGAGUUCGAACCCCCGUGCGGGCG
rnacentral:tRNA from 1 species